ACACACACGCGCCGCCGCCGCCGUGCCAAGCCGGGCCGGGCUUGGCCUUAGCCUUGGGUCAAAUUCUUUUUGGAGAAAAUACUUAUGAGUCCGCUAUCGAGUGUUGCAAUACCGGUCUUAUAGUGAUUGUAUCAUGCGAUCCGCUGCUCAUAAAACCGCCACAUUGCGGGAGCUAGUUUGGAUUACGGAAAGAGAUCAAAUCUCGCCUUCACUCGUUGUCG